ACGGGAUUUCUGACACUCAUCAACUAAUUACCGCGACAGAAAUGCGUCAAUAACUCAUCAAUUGGAGCCAAUGUUGCUGUUGGAGGAGCAUCACCUGCGUGUGUCUGUCACACAGGUCGGUUAAUUGAUUUCGGCAAGCGGGGAGCAGGUGUGUGCACCGCGCUAUAUAAUGCGGAACUAAUCCGAAUCGUCCGUCCGCCAUCGAUUAAACAGCCUGCGGCAAACAGAUAGACUUACAACAGUCAGGAGCCAACAGGUAGCAGCGUUACACAGAAUGAUGGAGUUACCUUCAUCCGCCACAGUUUCGAGCAGGAACUCCAGCAGGAUAAUAAUCCAGAGCGCGGCCACGUUCCUGGAGAAGAGCUCCAUCGUGGAAUCACUGGUGAAUGUUUACAAAGAUGGGCAAACAGUGCAAAGGUUCAAGAAUCGUCAGCUGGGUCUCGCACCCAUCAGGAAUGAGCAAUCGCACGAGAGACAGAGAGAAGCCACCAAGUCAUGAGAGGAAAAAAAAAACUUCUAACUUCAGCCGAA